rnacentral:rRNA from 1 species
CCUACGGGUGGCAGCAGUGAGGAAUAUUGGUCAAUGGACGAGAGGCUGAACCAGCCAAGUAGCGUGAAGGAUGAAUGCCCUAUGGGUUGUAAACUUCUUUUAUCAAGGAAUAAAACGAGGCACGUGUGGCUUUUGGCGUGUACUUUAUGAAUAAGGAUCGGCUAACUCCGUGCCAGCAGCCGCGGUAAUACGGAGGAUCCGAGCGUUAUCCGGAUUUAUUGGGGUUAAAGGGUGCGUAGAUGGGUUGUUAAGUCAGUUGUGAAAGUUUGCGGCUCAACCGUAAAAUUGCAAUUGAUACUGGCAGUCUUGAGUACAGUUGAGGUAGGCGGAAUUCGUGGUGUAGCGGUGAAAUGCUUAGAUAUCACGCAGAACCCCGAUUGCGAAGGCAGCUUACUAACCUGUGACUGACGUUGAUGCACGAAAGUGUGGGUAUCAAACAGGAUUAGAUACCCGGGUAGUC